UACGUAGGGUGCGAGCGUUGUCCGGAUUUAUUGGGCGUAAAGAGCUCGUAGGCGGUUUGUCGCGUCGGCCGUGAAAUCUCCACGCUUAACGUGGAGCGUGCGGUCGAUACGGGCAGACUUGAGUUCGGUAGGGGAGACUGGAAUUCCUGGUGUAGCGGUGAAAUGCGCAGAUAUCAGGAGGAACACCGGUGGCGAAGGCGGGUCUCUGGGCAGAUACUGACGCUGAGGAGCGAAAGCGUGGGGAGCGAACAGG
rnacentral:rRNA from 1 species